rnacentral:rRNA from 1 species
UACGUAGGGUGCGAGCGUUAAUCGGAAUUACUGGGCGUAAAGCGUGCGUAGGCGGUCUGUUAAGUCAGAUGUGAAAUCCCCGGGCUUAACCUGGGAACUGCAUUUGUGACUGGCAGGCUAGAGUAUGGCAGAGGGGGGUAGAAUUCCACGUGUAGCAGUGAAAUGCGUAGAGAUGUGGAGGAAUACCGAUGGCGAAGGCAGCCCCCUGGGCCAAUACUGACGCUCAUGCACGAAAGCGUGGGGAGCAAACAGG